rnacentral:lncRNA from 1 species
GGAGGAGAGCGUUUUCUUCACUCUUUCGCUGCCUGCCCGCCCUCAGCAUUUUUCAGCACUCCGGCUGCCGGCGGCGUUCGCAGAAGCAACAGCUCCCCAGCCGGCUGUACCGAGGAGCUGUGCAGCCCCAAAUAAGGCAGAAGGAUUAGAUGCGCUGUGAUAGAUCAUUUACUGUAAAUAAAGCCAUCAGGGAGCGAGCUGCGCUGAGAAUAAAUGACCUGUGCAGAAAAGUGUUCUGAAAAGAGAAGGAAGCCUUUCCGGAGCCAGGAGACAGUGUGCGCUCUCCAACCUGCACCGACCUAGCGGUUCUGCAACCCCUCUCGUCCCACCGGGCGAGUUUUCUCCUCUGCUGUCGCCCGCAAUGCUCCACUGGCAUCCUGGUUGACCCUGAGGACCUUUCACAAAUGACAGAAACAGGUCAAAGAAAACAGGUAAUUUAGUUCUUCCUAUUCAGGCAACUCAUAAACUCUUAAGCAAAAAAAAAAAAAAAAAAAAAAAAAAAAACCCAAUACAUAUAAUUUUUUUAACUACCCAAUAAAGACCUGGCUUUUUGUUUACA